rnacentral:rRNA from 1 species
GGCGUCGAGCGGCGGACGGGUGAGUAAUGCCUAGGAAAUUGCCCUGAUGUGGGGGAUAACCAUUGGAAACGAUGGCUAAUACCGCAUGAUGCCUACGGGCCAAAGAGGGGGACCUUCGGGCCUCUCGCGUCAGGAUAUGCCUAGGUGGGAUUAGCUAGUUGGUGAGGUAAGGGCUCACCAAGGCGACGAUCCCUAGCUGGUCUGAGAGGAUGAUCAGCCACACUGGAACUGAGACACGGUCCAGACUCCUACGGGAGGCAGCAG